CCUACGGGUGGCAGCAGUGGGGAAUAUUGCACAAUGGGGGAAACCCUGAUGCAGCGACGCCGCGUGAGUGAAGAAGUAUUUCGGUAUGUAAAGCUCUAUCAGCAGGGAAGAAAAUGACCGUACCUGAUUAAGAAGCCCCGGAUAACUACGUGCCAGGAGCCGCGGUAAUACGUAGGGGGCAAGCGUUAUCCGGAUUUACUGGGUGUAAAGGGAGCGUAGACGGGAGGAUAAGUCUGGAGGGAAAUGCCGGGGCUUAACCCCGGAACUGCUUUGGAAACUGUGCAGCUAGAGUGCAGGAGAGGUAAGCGGAAUGCCUGGUGUAGCGGUGAAAUGCGUAGAUAUUAGGAGGAACACC
rnacentral:rRNA from 1 species